rnacentral:lncRNA from 1 species
UUGUCUACGCAAUUUACGUAAGCCAAUGAGCAGAGAGGAAUUAUCGUGUGGAGGACUAAUGAAUUAAUUGGUUUCAGCAGUCAAAUAAACAAGUACGUCGUCUACUCAGGCGUGUUUGAGGUGUUUGUUUCAAACUUUUCAUAGACGAGAGUAAAAACAAACAAGCUUUUGGUUUAACUUCCAGCGGAAAUGGAGCUCCACGUACUGAAGGAGGCAGCACUGUUGUCAUGGAUCAACAGUGUGAAUCCUCAGGAGCCAAUAACUAGACUUCUUCAAAUGAUGGACGGUCACCGACUCCUAAAGUUUGCAUAUAAAGUGCAAAGAAAAGGGUUCUGUGAAGAUGUAUUGCUGCAAUCAAGUCCUAAUGUGAUGGAAAUGACCUUCUCGCUGCUACACGAUGACUUUAACUUCAUCCCGAGUCAAGCAUCUCUUGUGUUACAGAAAAUCAGUAAGGGAAUCGAGCUGGAGAUUCAGCUUGCAAAGGUGGUGAUUGUGCUGUGUUAUUGUGGUUUUAAAAGGCACAACCUGCCACCCUUGGACACAAAGACAGAGGUGAUGAUCGCAUCCAUGUUUCAGUUUGUAGAAGAUGAUGCUGAUGGUCUGUCUUUAAACAAAGGCUUAGAUCAGUUCCUCACUAAAGGCUCCGUCAUGACCUUCUCCACCUCUGGCAGUGAGAGCAGUUCUCCUCUGACCACCAUUUAUAAGGAGUCUCCCAUCUUCAGCCGCUUCCAAAACCCUCCCAGAGUUCAGUUUCAGGAGGUUUUCUCUGUGGCCUGCAGCUCCGGCAGUUCUCCAGUGCACAAUGUAAUGAAUACACCACAUUUCCGGCUCAAGAGGCUUCGGGAAAAACUGAUUCGUGAAGAAGACCUGAGAGAUGAGCUGGAGAAUGAACUGGCCAAUCAGAUCAGCAUCAUCUCUGAGAAAGAGGGUCUGAUCUCCCAGUUACAGCACCGGGUGGAACGGAUGCUGCGGGAACAAGGAGAGCUGGAGAAAGACCAUAAAGCUGCAGUGCUGGAGCUCCAGGAGAAGAAUAAAAGUCUUCUCCACAGAGUUCAUGAGGUUUUAAAGCAGUGCCAAGAUUUAAAAACAGACAACUCUCAAAAAGAGAAAAAAAUUGAUGAGCUGACAGAAGAGAACGGGACUCUCAGUGCUCAGGGUUUGAACAAAAUCGAGAAUCUCCAAACUCAAAUUCAAGAUCUGCUUGAGCAAAUUUCAGUAAAAGAUGAAGAUCUCCGAAAUCUGAGGAACAUACAUGAGUCUGUAGACAACGAGCUGAAGCUUGUGAAGCAGCAAAACGCUGAAAUAAAUGCAAUGAUCAAAUCUGAUCGUAAAGAGCAUGAGGAAACUGUUGAGAAACUCCAGCAGGAGCUUCGUUGUGCUGCUUCUGCUGCUUCAGAAAAACAAGAGCAAAUGCUGGUUUUAUCAGCAGAGGUAACAUAUCUGAAAGAGCAGAUCUGCAGAUAUAGUGAAAAUGAAGCACAAGAUUCAUCUGUACUGAAUGAGAAACUGACUUCUCUUCAGAACCAGUUGACUCAAAUGAAGCAAUCUGAGCUUCAGCAAAAACUCAGCCAUCAAGAAACCCUAAGAGAAAAAUCUGAAGAGUUCGAGAAGACCGUGCGGAAACUGCAGUCUGAAAUCUCCGCUCUUUAUUCUGAGAAGGAGACUCAAAUAAGUGCUCUUAAAGCGGAGAUGGAGGAUCGGCAGAGGUCUAGAGCUCAACUGGAGCUGAAGCUGAAAAAGCAAAACUCCUCGAUUCUUGAUCUGAAAACCAUCGGCAGACAAUUCCAGCAGCAGAACAAGGAGCUCAUGGAGAAGCUGGAGAAAACCUUCCAGCAGCUGCAGCAUUACAACGCUAAAAUCCAGGAGGCAAGGGAGACCAACAAAUCUCUGGAGAGAUCCCUGCAGGCCAAACAGAGAGAAAUCAAUGUUCUGAAGAUGGAGAGAGAGCAGGCUGAGGCCAAAAUGCGCUUUGCUGAGAUGUGCCUAAAGGAACAGAGAAACAUGACUGAUGACACUAAAGAUAUGAGACUUGGAGAAAGCCUAAGAGUCCCUGAGAAACAACAGGACACCAUCACUGACUGCUUAGAGUUUAAUCUGGACGGUUCAUUUAAUGUUAAUACAAAGGAAACACACAGUAUUGGAGCAGAGAGUGAGUCAGAGGAUACUGCAGACGACUGGAUACGCAUAGCUGAACUACAGGCCCGAAACAAAGCCUGUCUGCCUCACAUGAAGAGCAGCUAUCCUCUGGAGUCUGGGCCCAAUGUGGGUGUGCCGGCAUUGACGUUAACAGAUGAGGACCUGCGGAUGGGGGACCCAAAAGAGACCAUUCGCCGUGUAGCUUUACACAUGAUAAAACCACAGGACACACACACAUCACACACACGCAAGCGCAGAGGAGCUCCGCUGGAGAACCUGAACACAUCUGAGCCCAAGCAAAGUCGGCAGUCUGUGAUGUUCACGAUUUCUAAUACUCCAAAGAAGAGCUUGAGCAGAGGCCGUAAGGAUGCCUGUAAAUCCUCCUCCUUGUGCAGUCGUGCUCUUCGUCCUGCAGCCACCGCUGCUAACAGCAGAUCUCCUCAGAUCUCCAACAAUGGCAGAAAGGUAGAAAAAGCAUGAUGUUGUUUGACCUGAAAGCUCCAUCUGACCAAACCCUUUCCAUCUGCUAAACCCUUUCCAUCUGCUAAACCCUUAACAGAGCGAGAGGAAAACUUAGUGCAGAUCGCCCCCUAUUGGUAGUUGAUUGGGUUUUCUUAAAUCUGUGAUAUUCGUUUCAUGAAUAAGAAUUAUAGCAUUUGUUAGAUGCUUAUUAUACAUUCAAUGAAGGUCAUAAUGUGUGUGAUAUAGAUUAGGUCUUAAUAUGGGCAACGCUAAUUAUAAACAAACCAGGACUAAAUCUACCAUAUUCAUUUUUGACUUGAAACCAAACUACCGGUGUAAACACACCCUUAGACAUGGUGAUUUAAGCACAGUAUUUAAGUCUAGAUUGAAUGGCUAUUUUUGUGUGUUUAGGGAGCACAGUCAUCUUUCCUGAUCAUUUUACUGUAUGUAUCUGGGUUUUAUUUGUGUCGAUUGAUGUUGGUUUAUUUUUUUAAAAGAUUUCUUCUUUUGCUAUUAUUUGUAAUAAAAAUAAAAGAUUUUUGUAUGUUUUAAAAUGGGAACGCUGU